UGGGGGCUGCUAUACAUGCAGUCGAGCGGACAGAAGGGAGCUUGCUCCCGGAUGUUAGCGGCGGACGGGUGAGUAACACGUGGGUAACCUGCCUGUAAGACUGGGAUAACUCCGGGAAACCGGAGCUAAUACCGGAUAGUUCCUUGAACCGCAUGGUUCAAGGAUGAAAGACGGUUUCGGCUGUCACUUACAGAUGGACCCGCGGCGCAUUAGCUAGUUGGUGGGGUAAUGGCUCACCAAGGCGACGAUGCGUAGCCGACCUGAGAGGGUGAUCGGCCACACUGGGACUGAGACACGGCCCAGACUCCUACGGGAGGCAGCAGUAGGGAAUCUUCCGCAAUGGACGAAAGUCUGACGGAGCAACGCCGCGUGAGUGAUGAAGGUUUUCGGAUCGUAAAGCUCUGUUGUUAGGGAAGAACAAGUGCGAGAGUAACUGCUCGCACCUUGACGGUACCUAACCAGAAAGCCACGGCUAACUACGUGCCAGCAGCCGCGGUAAUACGUAGGUGGCAAGCGUUGUCCGGAAUUAUUGGGCGUAAAGGGCUCGCAGGCGGUUUCUUAAGUCUGAUGUGAAAGCCCCCGGCUCAACCGGGGAGGGUCAUUGGAAACUGGGAAACUUGAGUGCAGAAGAGGAGAGUGGAAUUCCACGUGUAGCGGUGAAAUGCGUAGAGAUGUGGAGGAACACCAGUGGCGAAGGCGACUCUCUGGUCUGUAACUGACGCUGAGGAGCGAAAGCGUGGGGAGCGAACAGGAUUAGAUACCCUGGUAGUCCACGCCGUAAACGAUGAGUGCUAAGUGUUAGGGGGUUUCCGCCCCUUAGUGCUGCAGCUAACGCAUUAAGCACUCCGCCUGGGGAGUACGGUCGCAAGACUGAAACUCAAAGGAAUUGACGGGGGCCCGCACAAGCGGUGGAGCAUGUGGUUUAAUUCGAAGCAACGCGAAGAACCUUACCAGGUCUUGACAUCCUCUGACAACCCUAGAGAUAGGGCUUUCCCUUCGGGGACAGAGUGACAGGUGGUGCAUGGUUGUCGUCAGCUCGUGUCGUGAGAU
rnacentral:rRNA from 1 species